rnacentral:misc_RNA from 1 species
GUAAAUCAUAGAAUUAUGACCUGUAAAACAGAACAAAUGGCAGAUACACAAGGAAUAGCCAGCUCCAAUUAAAUUUCAAUAUAUUUGAUGCCUCUAAAGUUUAUAUGCUAGAAACUUAAUAUAGAUGAAUAAGCACAUUCAAAUCAAGCAUAAGCGAUGUUCUUAUUAAUUCUGGCAAUGAAAGCUAGUUAAAAGUCAAUUUUCAAAGUGCAAAGUAUAAAAAUUUAAAUAACAUUUUCUGCCGAAUGGAAUUUAAUUUGAUAUAGUGAAUAAAACUUAUGACUGCUAAUAAUGCAUAGAAGCCUGUGACGCCAAAAGCUUUAACUUUGCAAGUGAUAUACAGCAGAGAGACAUUUCUGACCUACA